CAUUUGAUAAGACAAGUCGCUUCAUCUGCUCUCUUACACUUCUGGUUAGAUCGCUGUCUCAGUACCUGUACUGUGCAAUGACAAUAAAGUUGAAUCUAAUCUAAUCUCAUAUUUAAAUUUCUAUCCGCAGAAUGAUUAUCUGUAAAUCCACACUGGGUUGAAGGAGUCCUGCUGCUUUAAGUUGCAGCGUCACCAGCACGCUAUUGUGACGACGACCACAGAACACAGGCAGGCCGAUGAAAGGCCAAGAGAAAAAACAAUCACAUGUGUGUUUUAGUUUGUUGGGAACAGUGCGUGCGUGGUCAGCGUCGUACACGGGACUCCUCUACGAACAGAGGACCUAAACGGAGCUGAAAACAGGGCUUACGUGACUGAGGAAGGCCAACGCAACAACAGAGGCUUCGUUUGGUAGCUCGCGUCGAAAACACACGAAGCCCCGAGCCGAUGGCCGGACUGCAGAGUAGCUAACUGGGAAGUAACGGAACUUUGUUGUUUUGAUAUUACACAAUAAUACACCCAAUAUCAUCAUAAAUGUUUACUCAAGAUAAUAUCAGUAUUUCAGAUAAAUACCACGAUUAUCGUCCAUACUUGUGACCAUUGGAAAUUCACUUUUAGAACAUUCAGUAGCCUGUCUCUGGGCAGAAACAAUGUCCAGGUCUCAACUGCCUUUCUGCCAAAGACAUCGUCCCGACGGAAGCGUCUCACGGGGAGCCAGAGUCGCCGAGGCAACGCUUCAAUUCGCUGGAUAUGCUUUUUGUUUCACAUUCAAAUGGCUUUCGGGCCCAUUUAUAGGUGGGAUGGAGGCAGAAAUAGAUGAUAGAUACAACAAAAAACUCAAACUAUUCCAGAAAUACAGGUAGCGAGGAAAAUGUCUGGCAAAAAAAUAUUUCUGAUUUCACUUCCGUUAGCGCUUACAUCCUAUUUCUUUCCUUUUCUAUUUUUCAUGGUAUUGUAUUAGCGAUACUGCGUAGCAAACAAAGUCCUGUUUACUGUCCAAAGGGCAAACAAAAAACACUGAGAUAAGCUGCAAUAACAAGGAUUUCUUUUACUGCAUACACAUAAUAACCCCCACAUCCAGCUGUGCCCCGGCUGAGUGAACUGGCCCUGAACGCACACGGCCGCUUGCACUGUUAGCUCAUGAAGAAAGGGCACAACGAUUUCCACGCACCACACAUAGUGUUGUGUUACAACACUGAUGCUGCGGGGAGAAACCGCACAGCGGGCGCGACCAUGUUAACACGAGCACAACAAUGCCGCGUUGACUGGCCAAAAGGGCGCACAAAUCCCUCCGCCACUUGAAUGGCGUUGUUUAAAGCCUCUCCCUGAACCCGGCCGCUCCGAAGCCGCCAUCUUGUCUCCUUUCGCUCCUAAUUACCGCCGCCUCUCCAGAAAGUCCUCUGUUGCUCCAUCUGUCCCCUCAGCCGCUGACUGAGAUGCUCUAAUCACCUCGCGUAGCAGGGCUCGCAUGGGGGGGGGGGGGGGGGGACUACACAGCCACCAUACUGCCUCAAAUAUAAAGCCGGGGGCGGCGGGGGUGGCGGGUGCCAAUACCUCGCAGGGGGGGAGGAAAUAAACACUGGGCGCAGCCUUGUAUGGGAUAUGUUCAGUGACGUGCGCCUGAAAUGCAUCUAUCUUACGAUAACAGUUCUCCCCGACGCUAAUGGCUAAUGAGGUUCCGUAUGAAAAGGAUGUGGCAUAUGCCGAGCGCGCCGGCAGUUCAUCAGCCGCUGACAUCAAAAUGCCACCCGAAGGGACGGGACGGAGCUCGGUCGUGGUUUUGUUUUGGACCCGCACCGCAGGUUUACGUUAAUGUUUAAGAAUAUCAGAAAAUGUCUCUUAUUGG
ensembl:lncRNA